UCAAUAGCUUAGUUGGAAAAGCGCUCGUCUAGCAUACUAGAGUCGUGGGUUCUAAUCCCAUCUGA
rnacentral:tRNA from 1 species